rnacentral:rRNA from 1 species
ACAGAGGGUGCAAGCGUUAAUCGGAAUUACUGGGCGUAAAGCGCGCGUAGGUGGUUUGUUAAGUUGGAUGUGAAAACCCCGGGCUCAACCUGGGAACUGCAUUCAAAACUGACAAGCUAGAGUAUGGUAGAGGGUGGUGGAAUUUCCUGUGUAGCGGCGAAAGGCGUAGAUAUAGGAAGGAGCACCAGAGGCGAAGGCGACCACCUGGACUGAUACUGACACUGAGGUGCGAAAGCGUGGGGAGAAAAGAG